rnacentral:lncRNA from 1 species
AUUCGCUGGGUAUUUAUAUGUAUCAGAAAAAGCAGGAUAUAGAGAUAGAUGAGACACCCCUGCUUUUUUCAAAGAGCUCCCCGCCUAGUAGUGACAUUGGAUUACAGACUGACCUCUGAAUGUGCCUGAAUAAAAGCAACUCAGAAUGUGGGAGGAUGGCUGGAUUAUGAUAAAGCUUUCAGGAUAACUCCAA